GUUUAGUCCAGGUCUUUGGCGACUCAGGCCAGUUGCUCAUUUUCCUUGCUGGCUCUGCAAGGCUUGGAUGGUGUGGGAUUGCGCGUUCCGUACGCGUGAGAUCCAAACGUAGGAACUGGAAUAAACAUGAAUACAAUGUGGCGGAUACAGGCUCGAAUCCAGAUAGCUGCAGAAGAAGGAUGAGGACAGUUGCGGGGUCUUGAAAAUAGAGCUGAAAUUUCGGCCAUGGGCACAGCAGACACUAGAAGGAAAUCACUGGAAGUCAAAGUGAUGGACUGAGUCUGACAUGUCUGGAACCACUUAAUUGGUGCACAUUGGAGUACUUUAAAAGAUGUGAAGACUCAGGUUUUUGCUGUCGCGGAUGGAAAUGAGUUCUCAAAAAAAAAGGAUAGGAUCUAAGACUUCAUAUUUGGAGAACUAAAGGAUUUGUAAUCAACCAUGCUGGUUCCUGCUGAAAGCUAGCUGGAUGGAUACCCAUGGAAUAAGAUUUUAACAUACAGUAACAAAUAAAUCUUCAUAAAACAUC